UACGUAGGGGGCAAGCGUUGUCCGGAAUCAUUGGGCGUAAAGAGCGUGUAGGCGGUCCGUUAAGUCGGCUGUGAAAGUCCAAGGCUCAACCUUGGGAUGCCGGUCGAUACUGCCGGACUAGAGUUCGGAAGAGGCGAGUGGAAUUCCCGGUGAUAGCGGUGAAAUGCGCAGAUAUACGGGAGGAACACCUAUGGCGAAGGCAGCUCGCUGGGACGUUACUGACGCUGAGACGCGAAAGCGUGGGGAGCAAACAGG
rnacentral:rRNA from 1 species